AGCAGCCGCGGUAAUUCCAGCUCCAAUAGCGUAUAUUAAAGUUGUUGCAGUUAAAAAGCUCGUAGUUGAAUUUCGGGAUUGACACAUCGGUCGUGCCUUAAGGGGUAUGAACUGGUGUAGUCAAUUUCUCACCUUCUGGAGAACCGCGAUGCCCUUAAUUGGGUGUCGCGGGGAACCAGGACCUUUACUUUGAAAAAUUAGAGUGUUUAAAGCAGGCAUUUUGCUUGAAUACAUUAGCAUGGAAUAAUAAAAUAGGACGGCAUGAUUCUAUUUUGUUGGUUUCUAGGAUCACCGUAAUGAUUAAUAGGGAUAGUUGGGGGCAUUAGUAUUCAAUUGUCAGAGGUGAAAUUCUUGGAUUUUAUUGAAGACUAACUACUGCGAAAGCAUUUGCCAAGGAUGUUUUCAUUAAUCAAGAACGAAAGUUAGGGGGAUCGAAGACGAUCAGAUACCGUCGUAGUCUUAACCCAUAAACUAUGACCGAUAGGAAUCAGACGAUUGUUAAUUUUUAAUGUACUCGUUG
rnacentral:misc_RNA from 1 species